rnacentral:rRNA from 1 species
UACGUAGGGGGCGAGCGUUGUCCGGAUUUAUUGGGCGUAAAGAGCUCGUAGGCGGUUCGGUAAGUCAGAUGUAAAAACUCCAGGCUCAACUUGGAGAGGCCAUCUGAUACUGCCGUGACUAGAGUCCGGUAGAGGAGCACGGAAUUCCUGGUGUAGCGGUGAAAUGCGUAGAUAUCCGGAGGAACACCGGUGGCGAAGGCGGCUUCCUGGACCGACACUGACGCUGAGGCGCGAAAGCUAGGGGAGCAAACGGG